GGCCCGCUUUGACGAAGACCUUGCCAAGACUCCGGGUCCUGCGGCGUUGCCCAAAGUCGCUGUGGAUGCCUACAAGACCAGGGCGCCCGCGUACACCAUGGCGGCCCGACCAAAACCUGCAGAGGGCAAAGCAGCGAAGCCCGGGCCGGCAGACUACAGCGUAGGCCGGGUGACACUGAUCAAGCCCCAGGCGCCUGCAUCCACUUUUGGAAUCCGGCA